rnacentral:rRNA from 1 species
GAUCCUACGGGAGGCAGCAGUGAGGAAUCUUCCACAAUGGGCGAAAGCCUGAUGGAGCAACGCCGCGUGAAGGAUGAAGGCCCUCGGGUUGUAAACUUCUUUUAUAAGUGAAGAAUAUGACGGUAACUUAUGAAUAAGCACCGGCUAACUACGUGCCAGCAGCCGCGGUCAUACGUAGGGUGCAAGCAUUAUCCGGAGUGACUGGGCGUAAAGAGUUGCGUAGGUGGUUUGUUAAGUGAGUAGUGAAAGCUAGCGGCUCAACCGUAUAGACUAUUAUUCAAACUGGCAAACUCGAGAAUGGUAGAGGUAACUGGAAUUUCUUGUGUAGGAGUGAAAUCCGUAGAUAUAAGAAGGAACACCAAUGGCGUAGGCAGGUUACUGGACCAUUUCUGACACUGAGGCACGAAAGCGUGGGGAGCGAACGGGAUUAGAUACCCGGGUAGUC